UGAGUCGGUCAGGCGGCCGCGUCGGACGGGUGCUCGCACCGGUCCGCCGAGGAACGUCCGGGCUCCGCAGGGCAGGGUGGUGGGUAACGCCCACCCGGGGUGACCCGCGGGACAGUGCCACAGAGAACAGACCGCCUCCCGGUCCCCGGUCCGCCGGGGGCAGGGCGGUAAGGGUGAAACGGUGGUGCAAGAGACCACCAGCGCACCGGGUGACCGGUGCGGCUCGGCAAACCCCACCCGGAGCAAGGCCAGACAGGGAGCGCUCGAGGGCUGCCCGCCCGAGCUCCCGGGUAGGCCGCUGGAGGCGUGCGGCGACGCACGUCGUAGAUGGAUGGUCGCCACCCGCACCGGGGCAACCGGGUGCGGGGACAGAACCCGGCGUACCGACCGACUCAUCCG
rnacentral:RNase_P_RNA from 1 species